UACGGGGGGGGCAAGCGUUGUUCGGAAUUACUGGGCGUAAAGGGCUCGUAGGCGGCCAACUAAGUCGGGUGUGAAAUCCCCAAGCUUAACUUGGGAACUGCAUUCGAGACUGCAUAGCUAGAGUAUGGGAGAGGGAAGUGGAAUUUCAGGUGUAGCGGUGAAAUGCGUAGAUAUCUGAAGGAACAUCAGUGGCGAAGGCGGCAUCCUGGACCAAUACUGACGCUGAGGAGCGAAAGCCAGGGGAGCAAACGGG
rnacentral:rRNA from 1 species